GGUUUUGUAGUGUAGCGGUUAUCACAACGGAUUCUGAUGUUUGGAAUUUCCGUUAACCCCGGUUCGAAUCCGGGCAAGACCU